rfam:Kluyvera ascorbata ATCC 33433 GKAS.assembly.127, whole genome shotgun sequence.
GUCGAAGGUCAAGUUAGCCCCCGUUAUGUUGCCAGGUUUACCAAGCAACGUGCGGGGGUUUUCU